rnacentral:rRNA from 1 species
UGGCUCAAGAACGAACGCUGGCGGCGCGUCUUAAGCAUGCAAGUCGAACGGCAAGAUUAGUGCUUGCUCUCUUCCUAGAGUGGCGGACUGGUGAGUAACACGUGGGUGACGUACCCUUUAGCUGGGGAUAGCCGGUAGAAAUACCGGGUAAUACCGAAUAAUCUUGCUUCUUUGAAGUGAAGUAAGGAAAGGAGCUUCGGCUUCACUGAAGGAACGGCCCGCGCACUAUUAGCUAGUUGGUGAGGUAACGGCUCACCAAGGCAACGAUAGUUAUCCGGCCUAAGAGGGUGAACGGACACAUUGGGACUGAGAUACGGCCCAGACUCCUACGGGAGGCAGCAGCUAAGAAUAUUCCGCAAUGGAGGAAGCUCUGACGGAGCGACGCCGCGUGGAUGAUGAAGGUCGGAAGAUUGUAAAAUCCUUUUAAGUAUGAUGAAUAACCUGAUCAGGAAAUGGGACAGGGAUGACCGUAAUACUUGAAUAAGCAACGGCUAAUUACGUG